rnacentral:lncRNA from 1 species
UUCAAUGGGUUGGAACGAUUCCAACUCAACUCAUUAGGGUUUAUCGAUCAUCGAGAGAAUCCCUAUGAGUCCCACUAUCCACCAGUGACACCUAGCAGCAUGUAGUGGCCACCCAGCAGAAUGGAAUGAUGAACCUCUAGGUGCAGUUGUCGUGUGAUACAGUCCUUCUAUCAUGGAUCCCUACAGACCGGAGGUCAUGGAUAACUCGUCAAACCUCGUUGUCUGUCAUAUGUCUAGAUUUAUUUGACUUGAGU